AGUACAGCUGUAGCCCAUCACAUCCCCAACCUACUGCUCCCGGAGCCGGUCAUUUGAGUAUGGAGAGACGACGGCUUGAGAUGAACUCAAGAACUUGCUCUUUGAAAGCGGCAAUGUCAAGAAAUUGAAGGCACUAUUUGGCUCACCCAUGAGAAGCGCAAAAUAUAAUACAUGGAGGUGGGCUAUCUCGAACACCACUUUUUUUUUCAAUGCAUCAUGACCACAUUUACUAGAAAACUUGAUGAUGUCAUA